CACAAAUUGCUGCCUACAAAUUAUUGUUAGUUCAUGUUUGACUUACCCAAAUUUUUUGAAUGCUAAUCCUUUAAAGUUCCAAAUUUUAUGAUGUGAUGCACAUCCACGAUGCCUAAAUAUUUAAGCUUAUGAGAAAAUGAUUUUUAUUAUGCGGGGAUAUUUACAAUGGGAUACACAUUCAUGGUGCUCUUGGAUAAGCCACUAAGAAUGGGUGAAGCCUUGUGCAGGCGUGGAGCCAGCACCCGACGAGGGGGGGCGGUCGCGCGUGCUGGCUCCGUCGAAAUGUGUAGAACCGCCAGGGAGCAAUCAGGCUGUUGCAGUUGCAGACUGGCAAAUCCGACAAGUGAUGGAAGACGAAGAUGAAUGAAACUACCCGCAUUUUUUUUGUUGGAGCUGUGUGAGUAAUUGAUAAAUAAGAAGUUCGGCCUCUUUUUGUUUAGCCCAAUUCUCAAAUGAAUGAAUAAACAAAUGGUCCAAUUUCCAAAUGAUCAAUCCAUUUUCAAAUCGUGAAAGCCAAGAAUCCAAACGUGAAAUGGCCAAAUUGUGAAAGCCAAACCCUUUUGCUUUCCUUCUCCACUCUCCAGUCACGCGACUCAGUAACGAAGAAGAGGCAGCACCAACGCCAUGAGGAGGAGGAGUCAUCGGAACCGCCAAUGAUGUGUUUUGCUACCAACUACCGAGUGCCGUCUG
rnacentral:lncRNA from 1 species